AUUUUUAGAUGAGAAUAUUGUCAAUGAACAUAAGAAUGGAGAUGAAUACCCAAGUGGUCUGCAAGACUUUUCAACUAGUCUUGUCUAUGUUUGGCUAGAUCAUUAAUGACUCUAAAGAAGCAUUAAAUUCCUUCAAGAAUCCCAACUUCCAAUUUGUGAAACAGUCUGCGAAUCGAGUUUUCUGUAGCUUAGCUAGAGAAAGUAGUUUUUAUGUCAGACGGCAAGAAAUGGCUUGCCAUUCCAUUGAACUUUGUUGUAAACGUUCCUAUUUAUGUUUAAU